rnacentral:tRNA from 1 species
GCCGCAGUGGUGGAAUCGGUAGACACGCAGGAUUUAGGAUCCUGUGCCCGAAAGGCGUAGAGGUUCAACUCCUCUCUGCGGCA